CCUACGGGACGCAGCAGUGGGGAAUAUUGGACAAUGGGCGAAAGCCUGAUCCAGCAACGCCGCGUGAGGGAUGACGGCCUUCGGGUUGUAAACCUCUUUCAGCAGGGACGAAGCGAAAGUGACGGUACCUGCAGAAGAAGCACCGGCCAACUACGUGCCAGCAGCCGCGGUAAUACGUAGGGUGCGAGCGUUGUCCGGAAUUAUUGGGCGUAAAGGGCUCGUAGGCGGUUUGUCGCGUCGGGAGUGAAAACUCAGGGCUUAACCCUGAGCCUGCUUCCGAUACGGGCAGACUAGAGGUAUGCAGGGGAGAACGGAAUUCCUGGUGUAGCGGUGAAAUGCGCAGAUAUCAGGAGGAACACCGGUGGCGAAGGCGGCUCUCUGGGCAUUACCUGACGCUGAGGAGCGAAAGUGCGGGGAGCGAACAGGAUUAGAUACACCCGUAGU
rnacentral:rRNA from 1 species